UUCCCCGUUUGGCCAUUUUGAAUUGGAAAUCAAAGACGGGAAUCAAAUGGUUAAAAAGAAACAUUUUCUGUAACUCCGUUUUUCCAUUGUACAAAAUAAUCCAAUGUUCAAAAGGUACACAGACCCUUAGACAAUAAUGCUCCGGAGGAAAUUGAUUUUCCAUAAAUACCACUUUCCCUUUCUGUAAGCCAACCAUACAAAGGAGACUUCACUCUUAUCUAUCCCGAUUCAGCAAGCAAAUCUCAAGUAAAAAAACAUCAGCAUCAAAACAGAAACGUCCCUCUUAAGGAGAGAUUUCUACGGUGCACUGGUGACCCAGAGAGCUGACUCUUGUCUUGGGAUUAACGUUGGUCCACAAACAUCUAAUAGAAUAACCAGCAUGUCAGAUGACCAGGGUGAGUAAAAACACAUACGUUUGCAUACUAAAUACAUAUUGCAGAUGUGAUUUGCACAAAAAAUAUAAAACAUUCUAUUAAAUAAGGUUUACCGAGUGGCCCUCAUUCAUGAAACGUGCAUAUGAUAAAAUUUGAUCUUAAAAUGACGGUAUGAUAAUUUCACCGAUAAAGCUGGUAUUCAUCAACAUUAUCUUUGUCGUAUCCUUAUGAUCAAACUCAUGUCUGGUCAGAGACCAUGUAAACCAAUAUCAAAAAAUAAGAAAAUGCUUGAUUUGCAAAAAGACCAUAAUUAAAAACAACUAUCGUAACAGCCUCAGAAACAACAACCACAAUCAUGAUAAUAGUAUUAGGAAUGACAGAGCAUAUAACACAGCCAACAAAUGUACCACAGUAUUAAAUGUUGUAUCACUACCUUAUUAAUAUAUCAAUUUCUUUCACUUUAUUCUGUAUUUUCUUUAUCUCUUCUGUUGGUCAUUGUGGAAUUGCCUUUUUUGUAUGUAAUGCACUAGACAAAUAAACUUGCUUUUCCUAAGUCACUCAGGCUUAUAGUAUCGACAUGUCGAGAUCAUUAAAUGGUCAUUAUAAUUUCGGCUGGCAUCUUAAAUAGCUAACAGGUCUUACAUUUACUGGUGAGGGUAUAAAUAAACCAGUAGUUCUGAUUUUGUCAUGGAAAAUAACGAAUGGUUAAUUGAUGCUGGAAGCUUUCAAUUCAUAUGUUGCAUAAACAACGUAUGAAUUGAAAGCUUGGAGGUGGUGGUGUUAAUACAUGGUGAC
ensembl:lncRNA